CAGGGGGUUUGGCGGGUGCAUGGAAUCACUUUUGAAUCUUUAUUUGGAGGACGGGCUGUUUACAGCGUUAUGGUUCGAAGAAAAUUGGUCAGUGAAGCACUUGUUCCGGAAGUGUUCGAAUGUCAUCAGUUGUGAGUCGUGUGUAAACCGUUUUUCAUUCAUAAACAGGGGGUUUGACGGAUGCAUGGAAUCACUUUUGGCUCUUUGUUUGGAGGACGGGCUGAGUAUUUAUGAAUGUGUCUUUGAGGUCGACCGCUGGAUCGAAUGGACUUAGUCUUCAACCCGUCUUAGUCAAGACGGGUUGAAGAACGAGUGUCUACCUUGCAAUCUUAGUGUCAUAUGCACUCUUAGACCUUUUACAAAAUUAAAACCUUCUACAAAAUACAACCCGAUGACUGGUUUUUUGUUUUGUAUACAACAGUUCGUCUAUGAUAAUACCAUCCAUAGUAGUUAUAGGCUCCAGCAUUUUUUAAUAACAUUAAUUGGAUUUUUUAUGUUGGAUUUAAAACCUAUAUCAACCUCUGGACGGUUAUUAAGGCCACGACAAUAGCUUACUGACCAGACAAGUAUACUUUAGCACUGAACAUUGUCCAGGACAAAAGUAAACUCUCAGUAUAUACCCUGAAAGCAGGCGAACACCUCUCGGUCUAUAUCAUUGUUGUUGACAAGUGGUGUGGCAACUGUGACGUCACGCGAUAUUACUGCCAGUUGCCAGGUCGCUCACAGCACUAAAAUGCAUUUUUAGUAUUUGUUUAUCACCCAAUUUAACUUUAUUUUCUCGCGUAUGGGAAAACAAUGACAUAAGCUUUAUUUCCGCAGCUUUACAAAAUAGCUAAAUAUGGCGUUGAUUGGCGAGUAGAGUAUAAGUUGGUGGUCCCCUGGCCGUCCCCCAGGGUGUCUGGCAACCCCCCCGAGCCCUUACAACACCCAGACCUCCUCCCGCCACACUCCCCCUUCAGGGACGGCGGCGAGCACUAAGACCUCCUAGGUGGCUGGGUGAUCACACGACAGUUACCUUGAACUGCUUGUGACAAUAGGGCAGCAUGUAGCAGGGAUCUUAAAAGAAGUCAGCCAGAACCUGCACCCCUCUAAGAGGCACAGCGAGCAUGGGAUUAUCAUCACCACCCUCACCAAGAAAGCACCCCGUAAGGAAACUAAACAAUUCAGAACUACUCGUUUCAUGAAAACAAAACAUCAAAUUGGUCAAAAGACAAUAUAAAAGAAUCACUCGAAACAAAAAGGAUUAUACGAAACUGGGCAAGAAGCAACUACCCUCGACAUGCAUGCACAAAACUGCCAGCCAUCAGCAAAACCAGCAUCCCAAUUCUUGCGUUCAAUUUUGUAGUUGAUGAACCAGAGUCAACUUCUCGCCUUCCCUAGCCUGUCAGUCAUCCAGUUCAUAUUCUUCUCUAAGAUACAUGCUAGGUAUUCUAAGGACUCCAUUCUAUGGGUCUCUCUCUCUUUUUUUUUUUUUUUUUUUGCCAACACAUCGUUCUUAAUUUUUGGAAUUUUAUGUCACGAGCAUGUUUUCAAU